rnacentral:tRNA from 1 species
CGGGAUGUAGCGCAGCCUGGUAGCGUACUGGCAUGGGGUGCCAGGGGUCGCUGGUUCGAAUCCAGUCAUCCCGACAA